rnacentral:tRNA from 1 species
GUCUCUGUAGCGUAAUGCUUAGCUCGUUGGACUUUUUAUCCAAAGGUCGUGGGUUCGAAUCCCACCUAGGAUG